AACGCACAUUGCGCUUCCUGGUAUUCCGGGAAGCAUACCCGUUUCAGAAUCAGCAAAGAAAGUCAUGUUUUGCCUUUGGUUCACUCGCUGAAUCGCUGGCUGCAUGGAAGUUGGGUGCCAUCUGGUGUGAGAAAUGCCAGUCUCCUGAAAAAGAGUGUGUGCAUAUUCCUGGCUUCUUAAUUGUCAUCCAUGGACAGCUCCGCAGAGCAGCAGAUUUGUUAGUCUUUUUCUCUUUGGGAGUGGCAACCUUUGGAUGCAGCCUUGUAAUGAGCACCUGCAAACAACGAGUGAGUUAGCAUGUGGUGACGCCAUGUGUGGUGGCAAGCUCGUCAGUACCUUGGUCUGAAAUCGGGCAAGAAAACCCGCUGAACUUAA
rnacentral:misc_RNA from 1 species